rnacentral:ribozyme from 13 species
GCUGGUCACGGCCAGUAUAAACAGACAUUAAGCCGUGAGCGUCUCCUGUUCUGUGAACGGGAGGGUUGUA